rnacentral:misc_RNA from 1 species
GUAUGUAAGUUGCCUUUGGGUGUAAAAUUUCUUGCAUGCACAUAAUCGUAAUCGAUUCUUCUUGAUCUCUAAACAACACUUUCCCGUUAGCAUGGCUAGCGAUGAGAUUGUCCGCAAUCUGAUCUCCCGUGAGGAGGUGAUGGGUAAUUUGAUUAGCACAGCUUCUAGCUCAGUAAGGUCACCCUUACAUGACGUACUGUGCUCGCACGUAAGGACCAUCGUCGAUUCCGUGGAUAAGAAAGCGGUCAGUCGCAAGCAUGAAGAUGUACGGCGCAACAUCUCCUCUGAGGAAUUGCAGAUGUUGAUAAAUGCAUAUCCUGAAUAUGCCGUUUCAUCCUCAGCUUGUGAAUCUGGUACUCAUAGCAUGGCGGCUUGUUUUCGAUUUCUGGAGACAGAAUAUCUCUUAGAUAUGGUUCCAAUGAAAGAGACUUUUGUUUAUGACAUUGGUGGCAACUGGUUUUCUCAUAUGAAGUUUCGUGCUGAUAGAGAAAUUCAUUGUUGCUGUCCGAUCUUAUCUAUGAGAGAUUCUGAAAGACUGGAAACACGCAUGAUGGCAAUGCAAAAAUAUAUGCGUGGAUCGAAAGACAAACCGUUACGCUUGUUAAGCCGUUAUCAAAAUAUCCUGCGUGAACAAGCGGCGAGAACAACUGCCUUUAUGGCAGGUGAGGUGAAUGCGGGUGUUCUCGAUGGAGAUGUGUUUUGUGAGAACACUUUUCAAGACUGUGUGAGACGAGUGCCCGAAGGUUUUUUGAAGACAGCUAUAGCAGUUCAUAGCAUCUACGAUAUCAAAGUGGAGGAAUUUGCGUCUGCAUUGAAAAGAAAAGGUAUAACACAGGCUUAUGGGUGUUUCCUGUUUCCUCCUGCUGUAUUGAUAGGUCAGAAGGAAGGCAUUUUACCUUCCGUGGACGGUCAUUACUUGGUGGAGAAUGGCAGGAUUAAGUUCUUCUUUGCGAAUGAUCCGAAUGCCGGUUACUCUCAUGACCUUAAGGAUUAUCUGAAGUAUGUGGAAAAGACCUAUGUGGAUAUAGAGGAUGGAGUGUUUGCUAUUGAGCUGAUGCAAAUGCGAGGUGAUACCAUGUUCUUUAAGAUCACGGAUGUCACCGCAGCAAUGUAUCAUAUGAAAUACAGAGGUAUGAAACGCGAUGAAACAUUCAAAUGCAUUCCGUUGCUAAAGAAUUCAUCUGUUGUCGUACCUCUAUUUUCGUGGGACAACCGUUCUUUAAAGAUCACAAGUGGUUUACUACCACGAACUUUGGUCGAGCAGGGUGCGGCUUUUAUUAUGAAAAACAAGGAGAAGGACUUGAACGUUGCUGUGUUGAAGAACUAUCUUUCCGCUGUGAACAACUCAUACAUUUUCAACGGAUCCCAGGUUAGAGAUGGCGUGAAAAUUGCCCCGGAUUUAAUCUCCAAGUUGGCAGUGACUCUGUACCUGAGAGAAAAAGUCUAUCGACAAAGAGAAAAUUCAAUCAUAAGUUAUUUCGAGCAAGAAAUGCUUCACGAUCCCAACUUGAAAGCCAUGUUUGGAGACUUUCUGUGGUUUGUUCCAAAUACUCUCUCGAGUGUCUGGAAGAACAUGCGAAAAUCACUGAUGGAAUGGUUUGGCUACGCAGAAUUUGACUUGACUACUUUUGAUAUUUGCGAUCCCGUUCUCUAUGUAGAGAUAGUGGAUCGGUAUAAGAUCAUUCAAAAAGGGCGAAUUCCACUUGGUGAGUUCUUUGAUUGUCAUGAAGAAUGCGAGAAUUACGAACUGCGUGAGAAGGAGAAAAACGACCUAGCGGUGAAAAUGGCCCAGAAGGUAACAGGGACGGUGACCGAAUGCGAGAAGGACCUGGGACCUCUUGUUCAACCGAUAAAAGAGAUAUUGGUUCAACUUGUGAUGCCCAAUUUGGUCAGAGCGCUGUGUAGACCUCGUAGCCCAACGUCUCCUUUGGACUUAAAAAGUAUCCCAGGGUCAACUCCAUCACACUCAAGUUCAGAUUCUGAACACUCUAUGACUGAAGAAGCGAGCUGCACCAUUGCGGGUAGCGUACCAACAUGGGAAAUUGCGACUAGGAAAGAUCUAACCUUUCAGCGAAUUGAUGAAGAUAUGUCUCGACGAACUGGUAUGCCUCCAAGACCAAAAGUAACUUCUAGUUACAACAUGAAUGCCAGAGCUGAGUUUCUCUACUAUCAACUGUGUAGCGUGAUUUGUGAAAGGGCUCAGAUUUUGAGUGUCAUCGAAGACUUUCGUCAGAAUUUGAUAUUCUCAGAUAAAGUGGCCGUUCCAUUGAACGCUAGAUUCUACAGUUUUCAGUCAUUGAGACCCGGAUGGGUGUUCAAAACUCCAUCGCAUAGUGAAGUAGGCCACAGUUAUGCAGUACAUUUUGACUUCAAGACAAUUGGAACCGAUUUGGAAGAGAGCCUAGCUUUUUGCCGAAUGGUACCGAUUUCAUGGGAUAAAAGCGGCAAAUACAUCGCGACAACUCCUCAUUUUCCCGAGAGACAUGGUUACUACGUGAUUUGUGACAACACUAAAUUGUGUAACAAUUGGCUUAUUUACAAUAAGUUAGUUGACGUCUACGCACUAGUGGCUGAUAGACCUCUGAGAUUCGAGUUGAUUGACGGAGUUCCUGGCUGCGGAAAGUCAACCAUGAUUUUAAACAGCUGUGAUAUUCGACGCGAAGUUGUUGUUGGUGAAGGACGGAAUGCAACUGAUGACUUAAGGGAGAGGUUCAAGCGUAAGAAAAAUUUGAAUAGUAAGACUGCUAAUCACAGAGUUCGAACGCUUGACAGCUUAUUACUUGCUGAAGGACCUUGUGUACCGCAAGCUGAUAGGUUUCAUUUUGAUGAAGCUCUAAAAGUUCAUUACGGCGCCAUAAUGUUCUGUGCUGAUAAGCUUGGUGCCUCAGAAAUUCUCGCUCAGGGAGAUAGGGCUCAAUUGCCAAUGAUCUGUCGUGUAGAAGGUAUUGAACUUCAAUUUCAAUCUCCUGAUUACACGAAGACGAUCAUAAAUCCUAAGCUACGGUCAUACCGUAUCCCUGGAGAUGUUGCCUUCUAUUUGAGUGCUAAGGAAUUUUACAAAGUUAAAGGAAUACCUCAAAAGGUUAUAACUUCUAACAGUGUGAAACGUUCCUUGUACGCUAGAGGCGAAACGACUCCGGAAAGAUUCGUGAGUUUGCUUGAUGUUCCGGUGAGAAAAGACACCCACUAUCUAACCUUCUUACAAGCUGAGAAGGAAAGUUUGAUGAGUCAUUUGAUUCCAAAGGGUGUGAAGAAAGAGUCUAUUUCAACGAUUCAUGAGGCGCAGGGUGGUACCUAUGAAAAUGUGAUUCUGGUCCGUUUGCAACGGACGCCCAAUGAAAUUUAUCCGGGUGGACCUAGGUCCGCCCCUUACAUUGUGGUUGGGACUUCAAGGCAUACAAAAACUUUCACUUAUUGUAGUGUUACGGACGAUAAGUUGCUUUUAGAUAUCGCCGACGUCGGUGGUAUUGCACAUACACCUAUUCGUACUUUUGAAUCUCAUAUAGUUUAA